GCUGAAGCAACAAAUGCCCUGCUUCCAGGAAAAGCCUCUAAGCAUCAGGUAACAUCAAAUCGUACCCCAAACCGACACAGGUGGUCAGGUAGAGAAUACCAAGGCGCUUGAGAGAACUCGGGUGAAGGAACUAGGCAAAAUGGUGCCGUAACUUCGGGAGAAGGCACGCUGAUAUGUAGGUGAAGCGACUUGCUCGUGGAGCUGAAAUCAGUCGAAGAUACCAGCUGGCUGCAACUGUUUAUUAAAAACACAGCACUGUGCAAACACGAAAGUGGACGUAUACGGUGUGACGCCUGCCCGGUGCCGGAAGGUUAAUUGAUGGGGUUAGCGGUAACGCGAAGCUCUUGAUCGAAGCCCCGGUAAACGGCGGCCGUAACUAUAACGGUCCUAAGGUAGCGAAAUUCCUUGUCGGGUAAGUUCCGACCUGCACGAAUGGCGUAAUGAUGGCCAGGCUGUCUCCACCCGAGACUCAGUGAAAUUGAACUCGCUGUGAAGAUGCAGUGUACCCGCGGCAAGACGGAAAGACCCCGUGAACCUUUACUAUAGCUUGACACUGAACAUUGAGCCUUGAUGUGUAGGAUAGGUGGGAGGCUUUGAAGUGUGGACGCCAGUCUGCAUGGAGCCGGCCUUGAAAUACCACCCUUUAAUGUUUGAUGUUCUAACGUUGGCCCCUGAUCGGGGUUGCGGACAGUGUCUGGUGGGUAGUUUGACUGGGGCGGUCUCCUCCUAAAGAGUAACGGAGGAGCACGAAGGUUGGCUAAUCCUGGUCGGACAUCAGGAGGUUAGUGCAAUGGCAUAAGCCAGCUUGACUGCGAGCGUGACGGCGCGAGCAGGUGCGAAAGCAGGUCAUAGUGAUCCGGUGGUUCUGAAUGGAAGGGCCAUCGCUCAACGGAUAAAAGGUACUCCGGGGAUAACAGGCUGAUACCGCCCAAGAGUUCAUAUCGACGGCGGUGUUUGGCACCUCGAUGUCGGCUCAUCACAUCCUGGGGCUGAAGUAGGUCCCAAGGGUAUGGCUGUUCGCCAUUUAAAGUGGUACGCGAGCUGGGUUUAGAACGUCGUGAGACAGUUCGGUCCCUAUCUGCCGUGGGCGCUGGAGAACUGAGGGGGGCUGCUCCUAGUACGAGAGGACCGGAGUGGACGCAUCACUGGUGUUCGGGUUGUCAUGCCAAUGGCACUGCCCGGUAGCUAAAUGCGGAAGAGAUAAGUGCUGAAAGCAUCUAAGCACGAAACUUGCCCCGAGAUGAGUUCUCCCUGAGACUUAGAGUCUCCUGAAGGAACGUUGAAGACGACGACGUUGAUAGGCCGGGUGUGUAAGCGCAGCGAUGCGUUGAGCUAACCGGUACUAAUGAACCGUGAGG
rnacentral:rRNA from 1 species